rnacentral:lncRNA from 1 species
UCUCUCAUUUGCAUAAGUCAAGCCCAACUAUAAAAAGGCAUCCUCAAUUUACGGCAGAAACUCCCAGAUUGAUCACUCUUUAGCUCCUGACUCUUGAGAGUCUCUCUGGGAAAAAAAGUCGUCAAACCGGCCAAACACAAACCCUACAAAAAAAAGAAGACCCAGAAGGUGAAGAGAGAGAGAGAGAGAGAGAGAGGAACGAGAACAGAGUAUGGAGAUUGAAAUGGUGAAGUGCGAGUGUUGUGGGCUGAAGGAGGACUGCACCCAAGACUACAUAUCCCAAGUGAAGUCCAAAUUUGAAGGCAAAUGGCUCUGUGGGUUGUGCUCGGAGGCCGUGCGGGACGAAGUAAACAGAGCCAACAGCAACAACAAGAAGCCAUUCGGGGUUGAAGAAGCCGUGGGAGCUCACAUGUCCUUCUGCAGAAAGUACAAGUCCAGCCCUGCAUUCAGGGUAGCUGAUGGGAUGAGGCAGAUGCUGAGGAGGAGGUCUGGCGAUCUGUCGUCUUCAUCAUCUUCUUCUUCUUCUUCUUCAUUGUCUUCCUCUUCUUC